AUGCUUAAAAAUAGUUAAGAUGGCUUUAUAGUUUCCUUGGCUUUGACACUGUGCUAAAGCAAUAUCUGUUCUUUUCCUAUGCAUUUAACAGAUUAUUUAGCCUCUUAAAUGUAGUCAGAAAGUUAGCACAUUU